AGCGCCAGGGUGUGUGUCUGGAGUUCCAGACAAGAGGGCUACAGCGAGCAGGCCCUCAGAGUGAAGCAGCCGAGAACCAGCCCAAAGCCUGGGGGGGACAGAGUGGCUGAUUGGGGACACCCCAAGACAGGAGCCAGGAGGAGCCCUGAGCCAGGGAGGAAUCACCUGAGGACAAACCGGAGCUGGACCUAAUAUCAUGGCUGCCCAGAGGUGCAUGGAGCCUGCUCUGCAAAAAAAUUCCCAAAAGGCCUUGCAGGAUGGUGACGAGUGGCACAUUGGGAUAUCUACUUUGCAUCGACACAAGCAAUCCUGAAUUGAAGUCAUCAAUGCCAGGGCAUGGUGGAGGUCUACUUCUGGAAAGGGGAAGGAGGACAGCUUGCAUUUUAGAUACUGUUUGUAUGAGGGAAGUGGGACCAAAAGCGGAAAGUCAACCAUGGAAGAUACAAGUCUCCCCACUCUUUCCAAUCCUAGCCAAACUCUUCAUCCCACCAGCAAUUCAUGGCAGCAAUUGAACACUGCUUUGCAUUGAUCUCCAGAUCUGGUUCCAGAAGAAA